rnacentral:rRNA from 1 species
GACGAACGCUGGCGGCGUGCCUAAUACAAGCAAGUCGAGCGAAUCUUGAGGUGCUUGCACCUCUUGGUUAGCGGCGGACGGGUGAGUAACACGUGGGCAACCUGCCUGUAAGACUGGGAUCACUUCGGGAAACCGGAGCUAAUACCGGAUAAUCCUUUUCCUCUCAUGAGGGAAAGCUGAAAGUCGGUUUACGCUGACACUUACAGAUGGGCCCGCGGCGGAUUAGCUAGUUGGUGAGGUAACGGCUCACCAAGGCGACGAUGCGUAGCCGACCUGAUAGGGUGAUCGGCCACACUGGGACUGAGACACGGCCCAGACUCCUACGGGAGGCAGCAGUAGGGAAUCUUCCGCAAUGGACGAAAGUCUGACGGAGCAACGCCGCGUGAGCGAUGAAGGCCUUCGGGUCGUAAAGCUCUGUUGUUAGGGAAGAACAAGUAUCGGAGUAACUGCCGGUACCUUGACGGUACCUAACCAGAAAGCCACGGCUAACUACGUGCCAGCAGCCGCAGUAAGAC